GUACGGGAGGCAGCAGUGGGGAAUUUUGCGCAAUGGGCGAAAGCCUGACGCAGCAACGCCGCGUGGAGGAUGAAGGCCUUCGGGUCGUAAACUCCUGUCGAUGGGGACGAAAGCCUCGCAAGAGGUGUGACUGUACCCGUUGAGGAAGCCACGGCUAACUCCGUGCCAGCAGCCGCGGUAAUACGGAGGUGGCAAGCGUUGUUCGGAAUUACUGGGCGUAAAGGGCGCGUAGGCGGCGGAACAAGUCAGAUGUGAAAGCCCCGGGCUUAACUCGGGAAUUGCAUCUGAAACUGUUUUGCUUGAGUCCUGGAGGGGAUGGUGGAAUUCCCAGUGUAGCGGUGAAAUGCGUAGAUAUUGGGAGGAACACCUGCGGCGAAGGCGGCCAUCUGGACAGUGACUGACGCUGAGGCGCGAAAGCUAGGGGAGCGAACGGGAUUAGAUACCCCGGUAGUC
rnacentral:rRNA from 1 species